rnacentral:miRNA from 1 species
UUGUCGCCGGAGAGAUAGCACC